rnacentral:rRNA from 1 species
CCAGACUCCUACGGGAGGCAGCAGUGGGGAAUAUUGCACAAUGGGGGAAACCCUGAUGCAGCGACGCCGCGUGAGUGAAGAAGUAUUUCGGUAUGUAAAGCUCUAUCAGCAGGGAAGAAAAUGACGGUACCUGACUAAGAAGCCCCGGCUAACUACGUGCCAGCAGCCGCGGUAAUACGUAGGGGGCAAGCGUUAUCCGGAAUUACUGGGUGUAAAGGGAGCGUAGACGGUGAUGUAAGUCUGGAGUGAAAGGCGGGGGCCCAACCCCCGGACUGCUCUGGAAACUAUGUGACUGGAGUGCAGGAGAGGUGAGCGGAAUUCCUAGUGUAGCGGUGAAAUGCGUAGAUAUUAGGAGGAACACCGGUGGCGAAGGCGGCUUACUGGACUGUAACUGACGUUGAGGCUCGAAAGCGUGGGGAGCAAACAGGAUUAGAUACCCGUGUAC